rnacentral:rRNA from 1 species
AUGUCGUCCACCUCCUGCCUAGCCCCUCCCAUCCCCUGCCGUAGGGUUAGGCUCCCACCUCCCUCCGCCGCCGCCGAGAGGCCAUCACUCAGAUUUAAGCCUGGCGGGGCUGCUCACACCAAGGGAUGGAGGCUGGUUCACAUCUCAUGCUUCAGGCAGGAGCAAGACGUGUCAACAACAUCUGAUGAUGGCACUGGCUUCAAAUACAAUGAGCAGGCGGAGAUCUCAGGGGACCCUGACCUGAAGGAGGAAGACUGUGGAAGCCCCAACAGGGAUGAUCAAAAUUAUGUAAAGGGAGACUGGUUUGUUAGAACGCAGAAGAUAAAGGAAAAUCUACAUGAUACAAUAUCCAGAUUUCGGAAUGAGCGCUGGGCAGUACAUUGGACUGGACAAACAAUUACCCAGGUCAUGUUUUUGUGGAUCGCGACAUUUUGGCUUGUGGGUUCCUGGAUAGUGCCAUUCUUGGCUCAUGCUGCUGGCUUUAGCAAGGAAACAUUGACACACAGAGGCCAAGCAUUAUAUAGCCUCGUGACGGACAUAACUGAAGACCUUGCUGGGAUUGCUAUCCUUCACCAGUGCCUUGGUAGAUUCCGUCCCCUUCCUCCAGGCUGGUUUGAGUUCAAAUUGAAGGGCAAAUGGCAUUGGGAUGUAGCGUUGGGGUGCCUGUUAUUCCCACUGGUGAAUUUGCUUUCUCACAUCAACAUCAGCUUAGUUCAUAUGUCAUCAGGGCCAGUCACCGGGGUAUCCAGUGUAGAGCAAUCCAUUGUGGCCCGUGACCCGGUGGCAAUGGCCUUGUAUGCUGUGGUAGUCACUGUAUGUGCACCUAUAUGGGAAGAGAUUGUGUUCCGUGGUUUCCUCCUCCCAUCUCUAACGCGAUACAUGCCUCUUCCAUGGUCGAUCCUGCUAAGUGCUGUGGCGUUUGCGCUGGCGCACUUCAACGUGCAAAGGGUGUUGCCGUUGAUAUUUCUCGGGGUUGUGAUGGGAGGUGUCUUUGCCAGAUCACGCAACCUAUUGGCAUCAAUGGUGCUUCAUAGCCUUUGGAACGGUUUUGUAUUCCUGGAUUUGAUGAAAUGA